CCUUAGUGGUCAAAAUGUACUGAAUAAUGGUGAUGGGGAGAAGACCAGAAGAUUAUUUGCAUAGUGAUGAUGCUCUGCAUAGACAGCACAUGCUUCAGUGGUCUGGGAGUAUUUAUAUCCCUGUGAGUUGAACACUUCAUGACUGAGAGCUGUCCUUCAUGACAACAGAACCCACAACAACCAUGACUUUUACCACCAUCUUCAUCUGGACACUUGCUUUCUGCUUCAAGGAAUCCAGAGGACAGAUCACUGUGACUCAGACUCCUGCACUGAAAGCUGUUCUACCAACACAGACAGUCUCUCUGAACUGUAAAACCAGCAGUGAUGUGUAUCCUGACUGUUGGGGUACAGGUAAACCAUGUUUAGCCUGGUAUCAACAAAAACCUGGAGAAACUCCUAAACUACUGGUCUACUAUGGAAGCACCCUCUUCUCUGGGACUCCAUCUAGAUUCAGUGGCAGUGGAUCUGGGAGUGACUUCACUCUGACCAUCAGUGGAGUCCAGGCUGAAGAUGCAGGAGAUUACUACUGUCAGAGUUACCACAGUGGUGGAGUGUUCACACAGUGA